rnacentral:lncRNA from 1 species
UCUCGUUUCCCUUAUCUUUAGCUAUGGUUCCAGGUCGGCUUAUAAUAUUCUUCUCGUGGUAGUUCUUGUGGAGGAUGAAGGUAUAGAUGGAGAAGAAUAAGAUAGAGCCCAAAGAUUAUGAACCGGUACCGACUUUGGUUUAGAAAAUCCGCCAUCCGAACAUGAGAGAGAUGUACGCAAGCUUAGAUUUUUUGUUUCUUUGUUUCAGAUUGAAAUUUGAUCCUAGACUACACUUCAUCGACAUAGAGACGUAGAGAAGAACAUGAUGAAAGAAACAAAUAGGAAAAAAAAUUUUAAUUAUAAAAAAAUGUAUGGCUAUAAAUAAAAGAACAUAAAAGAUAUUGUGUCUUUAAAUAUUUAAAAACCAAUCAAAUUUCUUCGACAUGCUGAAAGAAUGUGAAUGUGGAUAGGGAUAGGCUAUGUCAAUUUACCCCCACAAACUUAGUAGUGGAAAUGUCCCAUUGUGUAAUAAAAAUCUAGAAGGUGUCUAUAUACGUAAAUCACUCUAUAUUAAUCUAUGAAUAUUUUCAAAAUUUCACCUUCUGGAAACGGAAAAAUCCCACAAAAAACCUUCAAAUGUCAAGUACUUCCACUUUAAACCUCCAAAUACAAUGUUUCCAUAAUAAACCUUUAAAUUGUCAACAUUCUUAACAAAAACUGUAAUAGUGGCUUACGUGUUUUGUUUUAUAUUAGGAUGGACAGAACUAUAAACUCUGUUAACGUCGUAACUGACUUCGUCUCCUUUGAUAAAAAAUGUGCCUUAUUGUAAUUACUUAGAUUUUUAUUGAAAAUAAUAAAAUAUUAUAAAGAGAAAACCAUAGGACGACGGCGAAGCUGAUGGCUUGUCUGAGGUCUCCAUUGUAUAUGAUCAUCCUCUUCGCCUACAGUGUUGCAAUUUCAUCAUCGUUUCUUUCCAGAGCACAUGAACAGAACAACAGAAACGAAGAGACGAGAAGCGUUGGGCUUAGGUUCCUUAUAGGUUUCAAAGAAACUUCGAAGGGAAGCAACGUCACCUUCGAAUGCUCUCCUUCAGGUCCUUGUAUUUCUUGCAAUUCCUCCGAAAGGAGAAAAGAGAAGUAUCGUUGCAGUGAAACGGAUUAUGGAAUUCCUUUUAAUUACAGAGAGGUAAGAGGAGAUGAAUCUUCAACACAACAUAAGGCACAUGUUUUAUCAAAAGGAAACGGAGUUAGUCACGGCGUUAACAGAGUUUAUAAUUCUGUCUAUCCUUAUAUAAAACAAAACAUGUAUGCCACUUUUACGGUUUUUGUUAAGAAUGUUGUCAAUUUUAAGGUUUAUUAUGGAAACAUAGUAUUUGGAGGUUUAAAGUGGAAGUACUUGACACUUUGAAGGUUUUUUGUGGGAUUUUCCUUUUCAGAAACUAAAAUCAACCAAACAAAUCUAUUUUAUGCAUAUCAAAUCCAUUUACAACAGUGUCGAUAGAACCCAGUUAAAAAUUUUCAAUAUUGGAUAAUAAUGACGAUUACAGAAAUCAAAAAUUCAAAUAUCAAUGUCAUUUACCCAGCAAUUAUCCAGCAAUAUCAAUGUCAUUCAAAUUCAAAUUUUUCUUUCACAUGUUGGUGAAAUCAAUAAUGAAGAGAAUAUACCACAUACUACAUUUAUUAAAAUGAUUAUACAUCAGUUGAUAAGUUUUCAAAACGUAAUAUUAUAGAAAAUUAUUAUAUCAAUUGUUAAUUAUGCAAUUUUGACCCAAAUAUAAAUGGCCUAAGCCAAAGAUAAUCAGAUCAUCAAUUUAAAAAUUUCAUUACUUUAUAUAGUUAUAAUAUCAGUGGAUUUUCAAAAAUUCAUAAACCCCUGAUUAAUUAAGAGAAAUUGCAUCAUACACACAAGACUUAUACGAUUAUUAGGCUAAUGCACUAUUUACAUUAUCGAGAAUGUCAGAAGGUGUUAGUUUUACAUUUUUAACCUUGCUCACUUCAUACCCACAUCAACCGGUUACCUUUUGUUCUUGUAAUUUACUUUAUUUAUUUAUUUUUGAUAACCCAAUCCUACACGUAAUCUCAUGUGCCGGCAAGUGGAAUUUUUUCAGUUAUCAAAAAAAUAUACUGAGGCACAGCACAUCAUUAUACUGAGGCACAACAUUAUGAGAAUGUUGAAGCGAUUUCGUUCCAAGCCACCGCAGAGUUCUCGUCUCCUCCGUGACAUUACAACGUUCUCUGCCGCUACUGGCUCUGUUCACCGUCGAAGCUAUCUCCAAUUGUCGAGCUAUCCUCCUUUGCGAAUCAGUUAUGGCAAGACCAAUCCCGAGCUCCAAUUGCUGUCGCACUGUAACAGACUCACCGUUGUCCACGUUUAAGCCAAGCACGGAUCUCUUCCAAUGGUGAUUUCCCAGAUUAUUGCAAAACAGAUCUUUGGGCUUCUGGUUAUUUUCAUAUUGGCCCACGACUUUGUAAAUUGCAGACACGUCCUCAAUUCAGCCCUUUAACUUCUCGAUUGUGACAAUUUAUCCCAAGCAAAAGUUCUGAAUUUGCAGCACUGGUCCCUGCAUUCUUGAAAUCUUCUGUUUCCUGGUUAAUAAUCUGUUAAUAAUUUGUUUCGCUUAUAUUUAUCAAGGGCAGAACAUAUCAAGUAUGUCCUUACUUGCAUUGCUGUCUACUCAACUACAGGUACCACUACGGCGGAUGCGUUUAAACUGUAUCCUGCUCUUUUUGUUGUUACAUUUCCUAACUCAUAUAAUUGUGUUAGGUGGGUUAGCAAACAUACCAUUUUAGCCAAAUUUAUGGUUUUUUGUUCGUUGAUGUUCGCACGUUAGCAAUAUAUAGUUGUAAAUUGCAGGCCACCAAUAAACUUAGCCUAGUUUUCAUCUAAGUUAACAAAAAAAUGUUUUCGGUUGGACAGCUACUGGAUUAUUUGCUCUAGUUAUUUGUCUUUCGCUAGAGUAAACGUAACCAGGAAGACUAAUCUGAACAUUUUCAACACAACUCUCCUCCUUUUGUUUUCACAUUUUGCCUAACACAUAUAGCUGUCUUAGGUCCGUUGUCGGAUUCUAUGGAUUCUGAAGAAUCGAACCCGUCUCCUAGGAACAUAUCUCUCAGUACGGACAGGAUGAUCACCAAAGAACUGCAUUCCAUUUCAGAAAUGUUUCCCUACCUACUGAGACAAGCCGGGAAACAACCAUGUCCUAAAGAUUUGAAGGCCUUAGCCAUUGAAAGACCAUGUAUCGUCCCCCCAGAACCACAACCAUUUUGAUUCUGGUAUCACCUCCAUUCUACUAAUUCAAGACCAUGCGGUUUCUGGUAGUGAUGUCUGCAAAUGCAUCACUCCCGAUGUCCUUGACCUUGAGGUCGGAAGAACUGCAGUCAUGAUCGAAAUGAAGAUAAUGUUCAAGUCCUAUAGUUCUAGCCACCCAACAUCUGCCUACUGUCAUAUCUACGUUUCUUUUGGUGUUUGUUUGGGGUGGGUAUCACCCUUUUAUGUCUUAUGUGUUCCUUCGUUUUAAUGUAUAAUAAAAACUUUUUUAACUACCAAGUCUUGCGUGUAUCGUUGUAUAAAAUGUCUUAGCCGGUCACUUUGAUUCUUAAACUAAGACAGAAACCUUCACAGUAAAAGUGUUAAACGGUCACUAGAAUGUUUAGCUUUGUAUUGUCAUAAUGGUCAAACAUGCAAAUAUGUGUACACCAAAACCACGUCAUUGCAAGUUAUCAUUCUUGUUUACUGAAACAAACUUUAUGAUUGUGAUCAACUUUAUGAUUGAAAUCAAGUAUUAAGCUGGAGAAAGCAAAGAUAUUAAACAUAAUCUUACCUCGGAAAGAGCGGCCGUCGACUUAGUUACAAUCUCUCCAAAUUUACAUCGUCUAGCUUCAGCUGCGGCGGAGACAGAGAUUGUGCCGGAAGCGGAGAUACAUCAAGUUUCUUUGCCAUUGUCUCGUUUCCCUUAUCUUUAGCUAUGGUUCCAGGUCGGCUUAUAAUAUUCUUCUCGUGGUAGUUCUUGUGGAGGAUGAAGGUAUAGAUGGAGAAGAAUAAGAUAGAGCCCAAAGAUUAUGAACCGGUACCGACUUUGGUUUAGAAAAUCCGCCAUCCGAACAUGAGAGAGAUGUACGCAAGCUUAGAUUUUUUGUUUCUUUGUUUCAGAUUGAAAUUUGAUCCUAGACUACACUUCAUCGACAUAGAGAC